GCCCCUGUAGCUCAAUUGGAUAGAGCAUCUGCCUUCUAAGCAGAGGGCUGCGUGUUCAAGUCACGCCGGGGGCA
rnacentral:tRNA from 1 species